GACCAGACCUGCCGUACCUGGUGAGGCCGGCAGUGAUUAUCCUUGCGCUCUGCAACCUCUCUAGGAAUGGAACCAUUCUGGUUAGCAGGGUAAAAGCUUCUUUGUGACAAGACUUAGACUUCCUCUGGAGACUAUGCUAUUCUUCAAGCAGCAGGCAAUUCAAGAAGGAAGGCAGGAAGGAAGGCCUGGAAGGGCAGAGUCCAGAAGGCAAGCCUUUCUCAUGAGCAGCGGUGGCACUGUGGGGAGCUUGGAUGUCUAAGAAGUUGUACA